GUCUUUUGUGGUUCCAUACAAAUUUUAGGAUUAUUUGUUCUAGUUCUGUGAAAAAUGCUGUUGGUAUUUAGACAGAGAUUGUGCUGAAUCUGUAGAUAGCUUUGAAUAGUACGGACAUUUUCAGUGUGUUAAUUCUUCCAACCCAUGAGUAUGGAAUAUCUUUCCAUUUG